CAGGAUGAAUUCAAGGCUUACAAGACUUAAGCAGCCUACAACCAGUUCCUAGAUGGCUGGGUUCAAGAUGUUAUGGCUUAUAAACCACACAACUACCCAAAUACUGUUGUACUAGAAAAGGUUCUUCACUCUCAGCAGUUAGCAGAAAAGGUAUUGCAGCCCUGGAUAGUAAUAAGUCAAGAUAGUAUUAUUCUAUCAGCCCAAUGUUCUUGUAUAGCUGGACUUGGCGAGUCUGCACUCAUGUGACAGCCACUUUAUUUAUGCUGGAAGCCAACACCAGAGUAAAAGAGAGUAAUAAAGACAGUUACAGGCGUGUCAUCUUACUGGACGAAUCCAUCAAAGCUUAAUAAAGUUUUGCCAACUAAGGUUUCUCAGAUUGAUUUCACCUCAUCAAAAACAAA
rnacentral:sRNA from 1 species